rnacentral:rRNA from 1 species
GAUGAACGCUGGCGGCGUGCCUAAUACAUGCAAGUCGAGCGAGCGGCGGACGGGUGAGUCAUGUCUGGGAAACUGCCUGAUGGAGGGGGAUAACUACUGGAAACGGUAGCUAAUACCGCAUACCCUCAGAUGUGCCCAGAUGGGAUUAGCUAGUAGGUGGGGUCAUGGCUCACCUAGGCGACGCUCCCUAGCUGGUCUGAGGGGAUGACCAGCCACACUGGAACUGAGACACGGGCCAGACUCCUACGGGAGGCAGCAGUGGGGAAUAUUGCACAAUGGGCGCAAGCCUGAUGCAGCCAUGCCGAGUGUGUGAAGAAGGCCUUCGGGUUGUAAAGUACGUUCAGCGAGGAGGCGUUACGCGCAGAAGAAGCACCGGCUAACUCCGUGCCAGCAGCCGCGGUAAUGC